AAUCAUUGUUUUUUUUUUUGUUUUCUUAGGCUUUUACCAGUCCAUCCAGUUAAUUUACACGCAAGCCUUUGCCUUCAUGAUGUUGGUGUACACAUUGUAUUCAUUAUUUUGUCAUAAACAGUUUGUAUGCAAAUAAA